GCAAGUCGAGCGAAUGGAUUAAGAGCUUGCUCUUAUGAAGUUAGCGGCGGACGGGUGAGUAACACGUGGGUAACCUGCCCAUAAGACUGGGAUAACUCCGGGAAACCGGGGCUAAUACCGGAUAACAUUUUGAACCGCAUGGUUCGAAAUUGAAAGGCGGCUUCGGCUGUCACUUAUGGAUGGACCCGCGUCGCAUUAGCUAGUUGGUGAGGUAACGGCUCACCAAGGCAACGAUGCGUAGCCGACCUGAGAGGGUGAUCGGCCACACUGGGACUGAGACACGGCCCAGACUCCUACGGGAGGCAGCAGUAGGGAAUCUUCCGCAAUGGACGAAAGUCUGACGGAGCAACGCCGCGUGAGUGAUGAAGGCUUUCGGGUCGUAAAACUCUGUUGUUAGGGAAGAACAAGUGCUAGUUGAAUAAGCUGGCACCUUGACGGUACCUAACCAGAAAGCCACGGCUAACUACGUGCCAGCAGCCGCGGUAAUACGUAGGUGGCAAGCGUUAUCCGGAAUUAUUGGGCGUAAAGCGCGCGCAGGUGGUUUCUUAAGUCUGAUGUGAAAGCCCACGGCCUCAACCGUGGAGGGUCAUUGGAAACUGGGAGACUUG
rnacentral:rRNA from 1 species